rnacentral:rRNA from 1 species
AACGAACGCUGGCGGCAUGCCUAACACAUGCAAGUCGAACGAGACCUUCGGGUCUAGUGGCGCACGGGUGCGUAACGCGUGGGAACCUGCCCUUAGGUUCGGAAUAACUCCCCGAAAGGGGUGCUAAUACCGGAUAAUGUCUUCGGAGCAAAGAUUUAUCGCCUUUGGAUGGGCCCGCGUUGGAUUAGCUAGUUGGUAGGGUAAAAGCCUACCAAGGCGACGAUCCAUAGCUGGUCUGAGAGGAUGAUCAGCCACACUGGGACUGAGACACGGCCCAGACUCCUACGGGAGGCAGCAGUGGGGAAUAUUGGACAAUGGGCGAAAGCCUGAUCCAGCAAUGCCGCGUGAGUGAUGAAGGCCUUAGGGUUGUAAAGCUCUUUUACACGGGAUGAUAAUGACAGUACCGGGAGAAUAAGCUCCGGCUAACUCCGUG